rnacentral:rRNA from 1 species
ACGUAGGUGGCAAGCGUUGUCCGGAUUUAUUGGGUUUAAAGGGUGCGUAGGUGGUCUAUUAAGUCAGUGGUGAAAUACGGCAGCUUAACUGUCGAGGUGCCAUUGAUACUGGUAGACUUGAGUACAGACGAGGUAGGCGGAAUUGACGGUGUAGCGGUGAAAUGCUUAGAUAUCGUCAAGAACACCGAUAGCGAAGGCAGCUUACUAGACUGUAACUGACACUGAGGCACGAAAGUGUGGGGAUCAAACAGGAUUAGAUACCCUGGUAGUCCACACUGUAAACGAUGAUUACUCGAUGUUGGCGAUACACAGCCAGCGUCUUAGCGAAAGCGAUAAGUAAUCCACCUGGGGAGUACGCCGGCAACGGUG